rnacentral:lncRNA from 1 species
ACAUGGGGUUUUCUCUUUCCGUUUGGAGCCCCCCUCCCUCUGUCUCUGUAUGGUGGAGCUUCUUCCUUCUUUCCUGCCUAUUAAACUCUCUACUCUUUAAAACCACUCCACGUGUGUCCAUUUAUCUACAUCAGCGUGAGACCAAGGACCCUGGCGUUCCUACAUUCAUUGAGGUAGUAUCAUUUUGGUGUAUUGGGCAAGAAUUCAUUUAUCGGAGUGGCACCUGGAGACAUUGAGUACUGCCAAUGGACUGCUGAACCAAACGAAGAGCUUUUCUGCAACAUUCAUGUUGCAGAGGAGAUGGGAACUGCCACUCAGCUGCUGCCACUCAGCUACUAAAUCUGAAAUAGUUAUUCAGCAAUACAAAAAUGGUAUUGCGGGGUUCUGGGGCAGCCCCUUUGGCUCAAAUGCCAGAGCUUUCUGCUAUACCUACUGAGUUUCAGUAGAUUUUAUUGAAUAAAAGUUUCUCAAUUCAUUACAAGCCCUUCGAUCAAUCUCCAAAGACUUUGUCUAGUUUCAAAUAUGUUUUUCUAGGGGAAAGGAUUUGCCAAGCUCCUCACACUACCAUUCCAGAAGUCCUAACCCUGAACUAUGUUUGCAACUUCUUGUGAAUCCUAAAUUAUUUUAAAAUAAAGAGUAUAA